rnacentral:misc_RNA from 1 species
UCCUAGUUAACCUAGGCAGUCUCGCUAGAGUGCCCAGCAUUACCUGAUGGCAACUAACGACAAGGGUUGCGCUCGUUGCGGGACUUAACCCAACACCUCACGGCACGAGCUGACGACAGCCAUGCAGCACCUGUGCUUCUGUCUCUUGCGAGAAAACUGUAUUUCUACAGCGGUCAAAAGCAUGUCAAGUCCAGGUAAGGUUCUUCGCGUUGCAUCGAAUUAAACCACAUGCUCCACUGCUUGUGCGGGUCCCCGUCAAUUCUUUUGAGUUUUACCCUUGCGAGCGUACUCCCCAGGCGGUAUACUUAUCGCGUUAGCUACGGUACAGAGAGGGUUGAGCCACUCUACACCAAGUAUACAUAGUUUAAGGCAAGGACUAC